rnacentral:rRNA from 1 species
CGUGAGCGGCGGACGGGUGAGUAACGCGUGGGUAACCUGCCUCAUACAGGGGGAUAACAGUUGGAAACGGCUGCUAAUACCGCAUAAGCGCACAGUACCGCAUGGUACGGUGUGAAAAACUCCGGUGGUAUGAGAUGGACCCGCGUCUGAUUAGGUAGUUGGUGGGGUAACGGCCUACCAAGGCGACGAUCAGUAGCCGACCUGAGAGGGUGACCGGCCACAUUGGGACUGAGACACGGCCCAA